CCGUUGUACACACCGCCGUCACACCAUGGGAGUCCGUUGCACCAGAAGUAGCUAGCUUAACCGAAAGGAGGGCGGUUACCACGGUGUGGCCGAUGACUGGGGUG
rnacentral:rRNA from 1 species